CUGCUGCCUGCCUCGCAAUCACAAGGGCCCAAGUUCGAACCCUGGUACAAAAAAAAAUUAGACCUGGCCCAGGAUGGUGCCUUAUCUGAGCCUAAAAGAAAAAUUCAGCCACAAGUAGGGACGCAGCUCAGAGAAAGUGGAAGAAAAGCCAGGGCCUAUCCCUUCCAAUUCCUCCCUUACCUGAGGCCAGGCUCACAACUCUGCCCCAAAGCCACCACCACCACCACCACCACCCUCCACCCCAUCUCCCUCUCAGACCCCAGUCCCCCACAACCCACUGGUCUCCAGGCAACAGCACAAAAGGAAAGUGGAGAGAGGGGCCUUGGGAGGCCCAGGCAGAGCCAGCUGUAACCCAGUCCAACCCACUACCUGUUAGAGAAGGAGACCUAGCAGAGUGAGGGCAGAAUGGACUGCAGUUAAGAAAGAUGGCUCCAACUACAAGAGUCCUGGCUAGCCUGAGGGUUCCUGAGGAAGGUUGAAGGUCAUGGGCCCCAGAGAAGACUGAGAGCCACAGAAAGUGCUGUGAGCCCCAAGGGACAUGGAAAGGGGUGCUAGAAGGGAGAGAGGAAAUGCCUACAUGGAAAAAUUGAGGCAUGGGAAAGGAGAGGGCGGCAAGCAGCUCUGAACUGAAAAUGGCAGAGGCAGGCGUCAGGGACCCAGGAAUAACAGCAGAGGCGUGGGCCCUGCCCAUACUCAUCUGGAAUCUUCUUUGAGCCCUGGAGCAUGCUGCAUGGCAGCAGCCAGAACAAAACUCUGUAGAAGCAGAGGCAGGCCCCCAGAGGGUACAGCCUUGAAAUGCUGCCCACCCGGUGUGGGCGGGGCCUCCCCUGCGAUGUCCUGCAGGGCUCCGACGCCCCCUAGUGGUCGCAGAGACCCCCUGAGCCCGUUUGUCCCCGAGUGGUCCCGUCCCUGCUGCAGAGCAGCUUGUUGCUGGGUCUGUGUCGCCACCGUCCAUCCAGGCCCCGGCCUGCUGAGCUCUGCAGUCCCGAGGAGUCCUCAGUUUGUUGGAGGACUCAGUUGUCUCAGCACCCCCUCUACACCCCUGGUACCAUCCUUCCCUCCCCAGCUUUCCAUCCUACAAGGGCUGAUGGCCAUGGGAUCUUCAGCCUUAGAACUAGCCAGGAUUUUGGGGAUAGAAGCCCAGCCAUGAACGCCUUACCCACUCUGGCAGGGCGUCUGGGAAUCUGGAAACUCUUUAGACUAUUUUCCUCCCAAAUUCUCCCAACUAAGUACAUAUCGUGUCUAUUUCAGGGGGAUCCAGGACUCCAGGUUGAGAAUGCCUGGCACCCUGGGCCCUGGAGCCAGGCCUGCUGCGGAGAAGGCAGGGCCAGCAUGGGCCCCACGUCGCCAGUACUGGUGAUAGGACCUAGGACUGUCCACUGAGCUAUACCCCAGCACUGAAAUCUACUGCUGAAACUUCCCAGAUGCCCUGCAACACCUGACAGAGACCCACCUAGGCCUAGAACCCACUGAUGCCACCAAGACACCCCACAGGCUGCCCCUCACCUGGCCAGUGCACAGCCCCACCACCAGGUCCGCGAUGAAGGUGUCCUCGGUCUCUCCCGAGCGGUGGCUCACCAUGACGCCCCAACCAUUCUCCUGUGCCAGCUUGCACCUGUGCCCAGACAUCUGCCCUGAGCCCACCCCACACACCUGUGUGUCCAGCCCCACCCACCCUUGGUCUGGGGAGGGGCCAGAAA